rnacentral:rRNA from 1 species
AGAGUUUGAUCCUGGCUCAGAUUGAACGCUGGCGGCAUGCUUUACACAUGCAAGUCGAACGGCAGCACAGAGAAGCUUGCUUCUUGGGUGGCGAGUGGCGAACGGGUGAGUAAUAUAUCGGAACGUACCGAGUAAUGGGGGAUAACUAAUCGAAAGAUUAGCUAAUACCGCAUAUUCUCUGAGGAGGAAAGCAGGGGACCUUCGGGCCUUGCGUUAUUCGAGCGGCCGAUAUCUGAUUAGCUAGUUGGUGGGGUAAAGGCCUACCAAGGCGACGAUCAGUAGCGGGUCUGAGAGGAUGAUCCGCCACACUGGGACUGAGACACGGCCCAGACUCCUACGGGAGGCAGCAGUGGGGAAUAUUGCACAAUGGGCGCAAGCCUGAUGCAGCGACGCCGCGUGAGGGAUGACGGCCUUCGGGUUGUAAACCUCUGUUAGCAGGGAAGAAGAGAAAUUGACGGUACCUGCAGAGAAAGCGCCGGCUAACUACGUGCCAGCAGCCGCGGUAAUACGUAGGGCGCGAGCGUUGUCCGGAAUUAUUGGGCGUAAAGAGCUCGUAGGCGGCUGGUCGCGUCUGUCGUGAAAUCCUCUGGCUUAACUGGGGGCUUGCGGUGGGUACGGGCCGGCUUGAGUGCGGUAGGGGAGACUGGAACUCCUGGUGUAGCGGUGGAAUGCGCAGAUAUCAGGAAGAACACCGAUGGCGAAGGCAGGUUACUGGGCCGUUACUGACGCUGAGGAGCGAAAGCGUGGGGAGCGAACAGGAUUAGAUACCCUGGUAGUCCACGCCGUAAACGAUGAGUGCUAGGUGUUGGAUCCUUUCCGGGAUUCAGUGCCGCAGCUAACGCAUUAAGCACUCCGCCUGGGGAGUACGACCGCAAGGUUGAAAC